rnacentral:rRNA from 1 species
AUUGAACGCUGGCGGCAUGCCUUACACAUGCAAGUCGAACGGCAGCACGGGAGCAAUCCUGGUGGCGAGUGGCGAACGGGUGAGUAAAGUAUCGGAACGUGCCCAGUCGUGGGGGAUCACGUAGCGAAAGUUACGCUAAUACCGCAUACGCUCUAUGGAUGAAAGCGGGGGGUCGCAAGAACUCGCGCGAUUGUAGCGGCCGAUAUCAGAUUAGGUAGUUGGGGGGGUAAAGGCUCACCAAGCCGACGAUCUGUAGCUGGUCUGAGAGGACGACCAGCCACACUGGGACUGAGACACGGCCCAGACUCCUACGGGAGGCAGCAGUGGGGAAUUUUGGACAAUGGGCGAAAGCCUGAUCCAGCCAUGCCGCGUGCAGGAUGAAGGCCUUCGGGUUGUAAACUGCUUUUGUACGGAACGAAAAGGUUUGGCCUAAUAAGCUGAGCUCAUGACGGUACCGUAAGAAUAAGCACCGGCUAACUACGUGCCAGCCGCCGCAGUAA